rnacentral:rRNA from 1 species
AUUCCAAUCGAACUCGGAGAUAGCUGGUUCUCCCCGAAAUAGCUUUAGGGCUAGCGUUGAUUUAGAUUACCGGAGGUAAAGCACUGAAUGAGCUAGGGGGCGAUAAGCUUACUGAACUCUAUCAAACUCAGAAUGCCGGCUAAUUGAUGAUCAGCAGUCAGACAGUGUGAGAUAAGUUUCAUUGUCAAAAGGGAAACAGCCCAGACCUACAGCUAAGGUCCCUAAUAUACGCUAAGUGGAAAACGAUGUGGAGUUGCGAAAACAACCAGGAUGUUGGCUUAGAAGCAGCCACUCAUUAAAAGAGUGCGUAAUAGCUCACUGGUCGAGUGACUCUGCGCGGAAAAUGUAACGGGGCUAAGUAUACAACCGAAGCUUGGGAUUGUCUAAAGACAGUGGUAGGGGAGCGUCGUGUAUGGGGUGAAGUCGCAUCGGAAGGAGCGGUGGACUGUACACGAGUGAGAAUGCCGGAAUGAGUAGCGAGAAUUAUGUGGGAAUCAUAAUGGCCGAAAAUCUAAGGUUUCUUGGGGAAGGUUCGUCCGCCCAAGGUAAGCCGGGAGCUAAGGCGAGGCCGCAAGGCGUAGUCGAUGCACAUACGGUAGAAAUUCCGUAGCCACCGAACCUUAAACCGGAAGGACACUUUGAGAUAGCAGAACCCAGCCGUUGGUUGAGCUGGGCGUAAGGGACUGAAAUAUAGUAGGGAAGUCUGCGAUGCUCAGAGGCGAGAAAAGCUCCGGUGUAUGCUAAGGUGCCCGUACCGCAAACCGACACAGGUAGAUGAGGAGAGAAUCCUAAGGCCAACGGGAGAAGGGUUGUUAAGGAACUCGGCAAAUUGACCCCGUAACUUCGGGAGAAGGGGUGCUCCAGAGAUGGAGCCGCAGAGAAUCGGCCCAAGCAACUGUUUACCAAAAACACAGGUUUGUGCUAAAUCGAAAGAUGACGUAUACGAGCUGACGCCUGCCCGGUGCUGGAAGGUUAAGAGGAGAUGUGCAAGCAUUGAAUCGAAGCCCCAGUGAACGGCGGCCGUAACUAUAACGGUCCUAAGGUAGCGAAAUUCCUUGUCAGGUAAGUUCUGACCCGCACGAAUGGCGUAAUGAUUUGGGCACUGUCUCAACAGCCCGCCCGGCGAAAUUGUAGUACUGGUGAAGAUGCCAGUUACCCGCAACUAGACGGAAAGACCCCAUGGAGCUUUACUGCAGUUUAAUACUGGGAAUCGGUAAUUCAUGUACAGGAUAGGUGGGAGACUGAGAAGCCGGGGCGUCAGCUUCGGUGGAGUCACCGGUGGGAUACCACUCUUGGAUUGCUGGUUUCCUAACCUGCGGCCCUGAAUCGGGUCGGGGGACACUGUUAGACGGGCAGUUUGACUGGGGCGGUCGCCUCCAAAAGAGUAACGGAGGCGCUCAAAGGUUCGUUCAGCACGGACGGAAAUCGUGCAUUGAGUGUAAACGCAUAAACGAGCCUAACUGCGAGACCGACGGGUCGAGCAGUAACGAAAGUUGGAGUUAGUGAUCCGGUGGUAUGUGAGUGG